GUGAGGAAUAUUGGUCAAUGGGCGAGAGCCUGAACCAGCCAAGUCGCGUGAAGGAAGAAGGAUCUAUGGUUCGUAAACUUCUUUUGCAGGGGAAUAAAGUGCGGGACGUGUCCUGUUUUGUAUGUACCCUGAGAAUAAGGAUCAGCUAACUCCGUGCCAGCAGCCGCGGUAAUACGGAGGAUCCGAGCGUUAUCCGGAUUUAUUGGGUUUAAAGGGUGCGUAGGUGGUUUGAUAAGUCAGCGGUGAAAGUUUGCAGCUUAACUGUAAAAAUGCCGUUGAAACUGUCGGACUUGAGUGUAAAUGAGGUAGGCGGAAUGCGUGGUGUAGCGGUGAAAUGCAUAGAUAUCACGCAGAACUCCGAUUGCGAAGGCAGCUUACUAAGCUACAACUGACACUGAAGCACGAAAGCGUGGGGAUCAAACAGGAUUAGAAACCCGUGUAGUCC
rnacentral:rRNA from 1 species